rnacentral:rRNA from 1 species
CGUCAAAUCAUCAUGCCCCUUAUGUCUUGGGCUACACACGUGCUACAAUGGCUGUAACAAAGUGACGCAAACGCGCGAGCGUAAGCAAAGCACCAAAAAGCAGUCCCAGUUCGGAUUGCAGUCUGCAACUCGACUGCAUGAAGUCGGAAUCGCUAGUAAUCGCGAAUCAGCAUGUCGCGGUGAAUACGUUCCCGGGUCUU